rnacentral:rRNA from 1 species
UUUCCAGAGAUGGAUUGGUGCCUUCGGGAACGUCUGAGACAGGUGCUGCAUGGCUGUCGUCAGCUCGUGUUGUGAAAUGUUGGGUUAAGUCCCGCAACGAGCGCAACCCUUAUCCUUUGUUGCCAGCGGUCCGGCCGGGAACUCAAAGGAGACUGCCAGUGAUAAACUGGAGGAAGGUGGGGAUGACGUCAAGUCAUCAUGGCCCUUACGAGUAGGGCUACACACGUGCUACAAUGGCGCAUACAAAGAGAAGCGACCUCGCGAGAGCAAGCGGACCUCAUAAAGUGCGUCGUAGUCCGGAUUGGAGUCUGCAACUCGACUCCAUGAAGUCGGAAUCGCUAGUAAUCGUGGAUCAGAAUGCCACGGUGAAUACGUUCCCGGGCCUUGUACACACCGCCCGUCACACCAUGGGAGUGGGUUGCAAAAGAAGUAGGUAGCUUAACCCUCGGGAGGGCGCUUACCACUUUGUGAUUCAUGACUGGGGUGAAGUCGUAACAAGGUAAGCGUAGAUGA